rnacentral:rRNA from 1 species
AAUGAACGUUGGCGGCGUGGAUUAGGCAUGCAAGUCGAGCGAGAAGGUUUCUUUUGCUUGCAUUAGAAACCGGAAAGCGGCGAAAGGGAGAGUAACGCGUAGGGUACCUGCCCCCAGGUCUGGAAUAGCAGCGGGAAACCGCUGGUAAUACCGGAUAAUGUCUCCGGACCAAAGGUGUGAUUCCGCCUGGGGAUGGUCCUGCGUCCUAUUAGUUUGUUGGUGGGGUAACGGCCUACCAAGGCUUUGAUGGGUAGCGGGCGUGAGAGCGUGGCCCGUCUCACUGGGACUGAGACACUGCCCAGACACCUACGGGUGGCUGCAGUCGAGAAUCUUCCGCAAUGGG